GAUAAACUGAAGAUGGGGAAAGAGAUAAAACCUUAAUUCUAGAGAGCUUACAUUUGGUGAAAGUAAGUAUUGAGAUUUAUCUUAUGCUACCUCGGAGGUCUUGUAUAAAAACAAGACGGCGGCAUCCGUUAUAAUGCAUAGAGUGGAUCAUUAGAUCAAUUUAGGUGGUAACGCGGUAGACACAGUCUUUCGUCCUUUUU
rnacentral:ncRNA from 1 species